AGUGAACGCUGGCGGUAGGCCUAACACAUGCCAGUCGAACGGCAGCACAGUAAGAGCUUGCUCUUACGGGUGGCGAGUGGCGGACGGGUGAGGAAUACAUCGGAAUCUACUUUUUCGUGGGGGAUGACGUAGGGAAACUUACGCUAAUACCGCAUACGACCUACGGGUGAAAGCAGGGGAUCUUCGGACCUUGCGCGAUUGAAUGAGCCGAUGUCGGAUUAGCUAGUUGGCGGGGUAAAGGCCCACCAAGGCGACGAUCCGUAGCUGGUCUGAGAGGAUGAUCAGCCACACUGGAACUGAGACACGGUCAAGACGCCUACGGGAGGCAGCAGUGGGGAAUAUUGGACAAUGGGCGCAAGCCUGAUCCAGCCAUACCGCGUGGGUGAAGAAGGCCUUCGGGUUGUAAAGCCCUUUUGUUGGGAAAGAAAAGCAGCAGGUUAAUACCCCGCUGUUCUGACGGUACCCAAAGAAUAAGCACCGGCUAACUUCGUG
rnacentral:rRNA from 1 species